GAUCCUGGACGGGCAGCUGAAGGUCCACUUGGUCCUGGACGACCCCGCAGGGAACAGCUACCUCCAGAACGUUUACGCUCCCGAGGAAGACCCCGAGAUGGCCGUGGAGCGCUACGAGCGGAGCUUUGAGCAGAACGAGGAGUUGGGCCUGAACGACAUGAAGACGGAGGGCUACGCGGAAGAGGCCCCUCCCCAGCGGUAGCAGCACCCUCUUCACGGCCAGCGGAGGGACUCCUCUUCGGAGGUGGACAUUUGCCCCCUGCAAGCCUGCCCAUGCAUUAAAGCUCAGUGAGGGCUCGGUUGGA